rnacentral:rRNA from 1 species
GAUGAACGCUGGCGGCGUGCCUAAUACAUGCAAGUCGAGCGAACAGACGAGGAGCUUGCUCCUCUGACGUUAGCGGCGGACGGGUGAGUAACACGUGGAUAACCUACCUAUAAGACUGGGAUAACUUCGGGAAACCGGAGCUAAUACCGGAUAAUAUAUUGAACCGCAUGGUUCAAUAGUGAAAGACGGUUUUGCUGUCACUUAUAGAUGGAUCCGCGCCGCAUUAGCUAGUUGGUAAGGUAACGGCUUACCAAGGCAACGAUGCGUAGCCGACCUGAGAGGGGUGUCCGCCCCACCUGGACCUGGGCCCCGGCCCGACUCCCUCGGGAGGCCGCCGUUGGGAAGCUUUCCGCAUUGGCGAAAGCCUGACGGAGCAACGCCGCGUGAGUGAUGAAGGUCUUCGGAUCGUAAAACUCUGUUAUUAGGGAAGAACAAAUGUGUAAGUAACUAUGCACGUCUUGACGGUACCUAAUCAGAAAGCCACGGCUAACUACGUG